UAGUAGCUUAGUGGGGUGCUGUUAGG
rnacentral:sRNA from 1 species